rnacentral:rRNA from 1 species
UGAGGAAUAUUGGUCAAUGGGCGAGAGCCUGAACCAGCCAAAUCGCGUGAAGGAAGACUGCCUUAUGGGUUGUAAACUUCUUUUAUACAGGAAUAAAAAACGGGGACGUGUCCCUUAUUGCAUGUACUGUAUGAAUAAGCAUCGGCUAACUCCGUGCCAGCAGCCGCGGUAAUACGGAGGAUGCGAGCGUUAUCCGGAUUUAUUGGGUUUAAAGGGUGCGCAGGCGGGCUUUUAAGUCAGCGGUGAAAUCUCGGGGCUUAACUCCGAAACUGCCGUUGAAACUGGGAGUCUUGAGUAUGGAUGAAGUAGGCGGAAUUCGUUGUGUAGCGGUGACAUGCUUAGAUAUAACGAGGAACUCCGAUUGCGUAGGCAGCUUACUAAGCCAUAACUGACGCUCAAGCACGAAAGCGUGGGGAUCAAACAGGAUUAGAUACCCCUGGUAGUCCACGCCGUAAACGAUGAUUACUAGUUGUAUGCGAUAUACCGUAUGUGACUAAGCGAAAGCGAUAAGUAAUCCACCUGGGGAGUACGCCGGCAACGGUG